AUUGAACGCUGGCGGCAUGCUUUACACAUGCAAGUCGAACGGCAGCGCGGGCUUCUUCCUGUCCGCGAGUUGCGAACGGGUGGGUAAUUCAUCGGAGCGUGCCCUGUAUUUGGGGAUGGGCCGGCGAAAGGCGUCUUAAUCCCGCAUACGACCUGAUGGUGAAAGCGGUGGACCGAUAGUCCUCGCGCGUUUUGAUCUGCCGAUGCGGGAUUAGCUAGUUGGUGGGGUAAAGGCUUACCAAGGCGACGAACCGUAGCGGGUCUGAGAGGACGACCAGCCACACUGGGACUGAGACACGGUCCAGACUCCUACGGGAGGCAGCAGUGGGGAAUCUUCGGCAAUGGGGGAAAGCCUGACGCAGCAACGCCGCGUGAGGGAAGAAGGUCUUCGGGUCGUAAAACUCUUUUAUUCGGGAAGAAAUAAUGUGUGAGAAUCCAUCGGGGGGAUGACGGUACCGGAAGAAUAAGCAACGGCUAACUACGUG
rnacentral:rRNA from 1 species